GGCAGCGGCUCCAGCCUCGCUCCGGGGUCCCUUUCGGGGCUGACGCCCGCAAAUAUGCAGAAUUACCGGCCUGGUCGCUCCUAGAGCCAGCGCUGGGGAGCGAGCGCGGCGGCGGCCAGCACCGGGAACGCACCAAGGAAGAGGCCCAGCCCCCGCCCUCCGCCCCUUCCGUCCCCACCCCCUACCCGGCGGCCCAGGAGGCUCCCGGCGCGGCGGGCGCGGCGAGCGCGCACUCCCUGCUCCUCCUCCUCGGUGGCGCUGCCUGCCUCUCCGCACUCGCUGCUCGCGCCUGGCGCGCUCCGUCGGCUCCCUGCUCUCCGCGCCACCCUCCUCCGGGCCGCGCUCCCUGAGGGAUGGUACUGAAUCUCGCCGCCACAGGAGCCCGGCUGGAGCGCCCGCCCCGCGGCCUCGCCACCCCGCCGAGCCGCCAGCGCCUCGGGACGCGAUGAGGACCUGGGCUUGUUUGCUGCUCCUCGGCUGCGGAUACCUCGCCAGUGCCCUGGCCGAGGAAGCCGAGAUCCCCCGCGAGGUCAUUGAGAGGCUGGCGCACAGUCAAAUACACAGCAUCCGGGACCUCCAGCGACUCCUGGAGAUAGACUCCGUAGGGGCCGAGGAGCCUUUGGAGACCAGCCUGAGAGCCCACGGGGGCCAUGGCGCCAAGCAUGUGCCGGAGAAGCGGCCUGUGCCCAUUCGGAGGAAAAGAAGCAUCGAGGAAGCCAUCCCCGCAGUCUGCAAGACCAGGACGGUCAUUUAUGAGAUACCUCGGAGCCAGGUGGACCCCACGUCUGCCAACUUUCUGAUCUGGCCCCCGUGCGUGGAGGUGAAGCGCUGUACCGGCUGCUGCAACACCAGCAGUGUCAAGUGCCAGCCGUCCCGCGUCCACCACCGGAGUGUCAAGCGGGCCGCUGUCUCGGCAGGUGGCCAAGGUGGAGUACGUCAGAAAGAAGCCAAAGUUAAAAGAGGUGCAGGUGCGGCUGGAAGAGCACCUGGAAUGCACGUGCGCAAGCGCCAGCCCGAGCCCCGACCACCGGGAAGAGGAGGCGGGUAGGAGCCGGCCGCCGGCCAUGCCGCAGUCCUGGGGUGGGAGGCGCAGCGACUGAUCACUCAGCGAAUCACCCCGAAGGCGAGGACGCGCCCUGAUUGGCCUUGAUCCGUCUGCGAGCUUCUGCUGUCUGGCUGGGCUGCGGGUCUCCGCAUUCCCGUCCCCAACCCCUCCCCUCCCGCUGCUCGGGACACCUGGCCCAUGGCUCCCUCCUGCUCCGGGGCCCCUGCUCUGGCUUUGGUCCUUGUUGAUUGGGGAGGCAAGGCGUCACACAAGCGGAGUGAUCUGGGUUCCCUGAGCAGCAGUGGGGUAGCUCUGAUGUUUACUCACUGGGAUCACCUCGGACAGGUUACCCACCUCCUUUACAGAUGAAAAAACUGAGGCUUAGAGGGAUUGCAGGGCAAGAUUGUUGAAGGCUGAGUAGAUCCUGUCUGAAAAUGCUUUGUAAACGUACAGGGCUAUUGGCUACUGUGUUGGCAGUUGUGUUUGGCUGCUAAUAACAUGCCAGAAACAAGGGUUGAGAUAAGGUAGGGAGAUCAGAGCAUGUAUGCCAGUCUCAGGGUAUCGUCAGGGACCCACUUCUUUCCAGGGCUAGUGGUGUCCAUCCUCAGAGUUGCCUCAUGGCCCAAGAUGGCUGCCAAAGCUCCAGAAAUCACGUUACACUCCAGGCCUGGAAGAAAGAUUAUGGUGGGGACUGGGGACAAUGGUGAAAGGACCCAGUGACUUUUGCUUUGAUCUCAUUGGCCACCCCUCUGCUGUAAGGGGGCCUGGGAAUGGUGGUCUUUCAGAGGGGCUUCCCAGGAGAAGGUGGUUGUGGGCAACCAUGGAGGAGGCAGUUUUAAGCCUUCCUGGUCCUUCGUGUUGGCCUGUCGGGCUCUGCAGAGCCUGGUCCUUGCUUCUGGGCAUGUGGGAGCCCACGGCAUCCAAAACAAAUAGUUGUGAGAGGAAUUCUUGGAGACAGGUGCCCGGGAGCCCAGGCUCCAGCUGAGCGAUGUGUGACUGUGGAACGCUGCCAGGUCAGGAGCUUCUGAGGCCCGCAGGUCACGUCCGUUCAGGAGGAUCCUCUGGGGAGGAAAGGUCCACGCGGACAGAUCUUGAAGCAGCCCCAAAACGACUGCUCAGCCUUGGUUUUUGGGUCCCCAGGGUGUGGUGCAGGGGCUGGUUUUAUACCUGCCUGUGCUGCCAAGUUUAUGACCACUGGGCUUAGCCUCCGUGGGCUAGCUGAUGACUGAUACCCCAAAGGGAGGGGCAGGCGUCCCUGCCUCCCUGCUAGCAUUCAGGCUGUGGGCAUGUGGUGGUACAAGUAUUGGGAUGAGCAACAGACAGGCGACGUAGGGUGGGAAAGAGCUGCUCUUAGCUCAGCUCAGUGUAGCUCUGCCUGGUCACAGAGACCUCUCUGUCUUGCUGGUGGCAUCCAUCCUCAGGGUUGCCUCAUGGCCCAAGAUGGCUGCAGGAUCUCCAGAAAUCACAUCAAGCUGUAGGCUGGAAGAAAGAAGAAGAUGUGAGGUGAGGAUCAGCCAGCAGCCCUUUUCCGGGACACGGAUGUACAUGGCGUGUUACAUUCCUGAACCUACUAUGUACGGUG